UGUGGGAGCGGGCUUGCUCGCGAAAGCGUUGUGUCAGACACCAUCGUUGGCGACUGAUACACCGCUUUCGCGAGCAAGCCCGCUCCCACA
rnacentral:antisense_RNA from 1 species